UGUCAGGAAUGGGUCGGCUGGAAAGCUUAGGACAAAAAGCCCAAGAGGAUGUAUUAAUAACUUGUCUAAACAGAGAUGUCAAAGGCCCUGGAGGGUCACCUGUAGGCUGGGUUAUUUGCCAAAGCAGAGGAGGCAAAUGCUGGAGACUGAGGGGCCUGUGAAGUGGAAGAGGCAGACACCUCCCCUGGGUGGAGCCCUCUCAACCCCAAGAGUCUCUCGGAAUGGAGGACUGAGCCUGACUGGAGGACGGAAUUCCUACACAGAUCUUCCAAUCCAGGACUAUAUCCUCCGGAAUGAAACAGCUCCAAGUGCAGAGUGCCUUUAAAGACAUUCCAGUUCAAUUCACUCAUUUAUUGGGACCCAGAGAGAGGGUGUGCAUUGC
rnacentral:lncRNA from 1 species